GGGGACCCAAAAAACGGCAUAUUCCAUUUCCAAAAGAGCUACAACCUAGCGCCUCUCCCCUCUGAAUUGGGAAGUUUUCACCAGCAGCCAUGUAAAUAUAGCUUUCACCUCUCUUUCUCAAUUGAACGGCAAGCUAAAAGGAAAAUAGAUCAGCUUCUCCUUUCCCAUUUUUCGAUUUCAAAGCAAGGACACUUGCUCUCUGUUCUUCACUUUCUUCUGCUGAAGGCCGAUUCAAUUUUCCAUCCGAGGUUCGCAGUUUUAAUUUAGCUCGCGUUUUUUGCUCGAUAUUGUUGUUGUUUUCAGUUGGAAUUUUGGAGUAAAACAUUGUAUUCCUCUACUAUUAUUAAAAGAAUUUCGAAUUAACAGGUUCAUCUCUACUCCUAUGGUCUUUAUUUUGAUCUUAUUUAUGUGAGUAAAGCCUAGAUGAGCCAAUAUAGAGCAAAACAAUUAGUGAUAAUUGGGGGUUCGUCUCUUACUCCGUUCAUGAUUUCUCAUUGUCCGUAUGUAUGAAUUUUGUUGAGUUAUUCUUUGAGCUGAUCUUUACUAAUUUUACAUAGCCUUUUGUUGAGCGUAGUUUCAAAAGGAUAUUUAAGAGGACAUGUCUCAACUUUGUGCUUAUUCCAAUUAUUUCCCGUAGUCCUCCAUUCUAAUUUUAUUGUUAUGUUGUAUCUUUAAAAUUUAGAUAACUUCCAUAAAGAAAAAAAAGGAUGAGCUAUAAAUGCAAUAGAUUAAUGAUUUAGAGUGAAUAAUUUUUAUUAACACAACCUGGGUUUUAAUCGAUUUCAACAGGAUUUUGUCUUUCAAGAUGUUUGAAUUUGGCUAAUUACUUGUCUGUUGGCAGUGAAUAUAUUUUAUCUAAUAUGAUGCUUUAUCCCUCAUUAUUGCAAGUUCUUUUUCCUUUCUUUCUUAAUAGGUGACUUCAAUUAAAUAACCUUUAGCUUCAAAUAGGCCAAACGGAUUCCCUGCUAACAGGUCCAUGAUGUUAAAUGACUUCAAGAUGUAAACUUUAGCAAUUUGUAAAGUUGUAGCUAUCUUUAAUAAUUUAGUAAUACCAUUGAUCUACAAUAACAUCCAUAACUUUGGCCUUUACAAGUCAUCUCAAGUCAGUUUAGUGACAAGUUUUGAACAUCGUAGUUUGCUUUAGGUGCAUUAAUUAAAUAAUUGUCAUGGCUACGGGUACGGUUCCCGUGACGUAGUUGUGAUGCUUAAUUUCUAAAAUUCGGGGGUACAUUUAUGAGACCCGGCCAAUUUAAUCUUGUUAAUAAAAUAAAUACGUUGUGGAUUAUAGGUAUGGUUCUCGUGACAUGAUUCGCAAUGUGUAACCAAAGUAAUUAGUUGUAUGAUAAUUAGAUUAUUAAAAACGGUUAUAAAGGGAUAAAAUGCACAUAGGUUUCAAAGAUGUCUUAAAAUCUGAUAAUUAAGCCAAUAAUAAUAGUUGAGCGACCGUGCUAGAACCACGGAACCCAAGAAUGCCUAACACCUUCUCUCGGAUUAACAGAAUUUAUUACCCGGAUUUCUGUGUUUGCGGACUUUAAAACAGAGUCAAUCUUUCCUCGAUUCGGGAUUUAAACCGGUGACUUGAGACACCAUAAAUUAUCCCAAGUAGCGACUCUGAAUUUUAAUGAAAUAAUCUUGUUUCGAUUGUCACUUAAAUUGGAAAAAACUCCCUUAUACCCUUACGAGUGUAGAAAAAGGGAGGUGUGACAGCUCUGGCGACUCUGCUGGGGAUAAGAGCCCAUAAUCUCUGGUUCAAGGUUCAAGAAUUCGAGCUUAGAAUAAUUGUUAUAUUUGGCUUUAUUUAUUGUCUGAUUUUAUCUACAUGUUUGGGCCUAAUGUGCUAAAUGUUGCUUUUUACCGCUUUGAUAUUAUCUGAACUAUAUACAUAAACUUCUACGAAACCCCUCUCUUCUAUCUUCUGAGGAGUGCACGCUGGCGUGACUUCUUUCUGUUAGUGUCAUAUCCCAAUUUAGAACGAGGUUCGGACAAGUUGCAAAGCCGGAUGAUCUUUUGGUUACCGGUACGCUGCCUCCCCUCGGCUCGAGUUGUCCACUCGGAUAAGCCAGGUCUAGAACAAUACACCCAAGUUUUAAACUUAGAAUAACACAGCCUCAUGUCGGAUCCCUAGUAGGAACGCUUAUUUGCGUCACGUGCAUUUGACUUUGGGGACUCAACACAGGGGUUGGGUUCGUCUAGGACAGGUGUACCCAAAAUAACAGAUCAUCUUAAUGCAUCCUAUGUGCUACAUGUUGCACUUUUUCAAGGGUAAAAGGGUCAUUUGGCGGACCAAUGAUAGUUGAGGGCAAAUGGAAAAAGAAAAAAAAAUGAGAAAGAAAAGAGGCUGAAGUAUAAAAAUGAAGCAAGUGGGGCUCAGUUAUAAUUUUCUUGCACACCUUUUCAAAAAAACAAAAAACGUUGAAAAUGAAAAAAAAAUCCAAAAAAAAAAAGAGUUUGCAUUUUUCCGUCAUUUUUUUUAAAAGGAGAAAAAUAAAAAAAAUAGAAAAGAAAAUCCAAAAAUAUUUUACAUGUUUCAUCAUUUUCAAGGAAAAGACAAAAAAUAUAUUUUAUCUAAAUUAAUUAUUUUUUUAUUCUUGCCCGUAUCCAAUUUGCCCGAACUAUGCAUACCUGAUUCUCGUCUUUCGGGGCGUGAUACGUAGGCAACCCACAUAGGGUCUGGUCUUCCUAGUGAAUCUUAGGUUCUUGGCUUUGCGGGGUCUUAGCCAAAUUUUACACUUCUAGACACCUUUUGGUCACAUAAGUCAUUUCCAAAAAUAGCCUCAAUCAUAUCUUGCAUGUGUCUAAUAGGGAGUGUUAUUAUCUCACAUAGUGUUGGUUAAAGUUUUCUCAUACAUGUGUGGGUCUACUUACCAGAGUUUGAGCAUGACAGACGUCCCAGGACCAUCCAGUCAGGAUCACUCAUUCAGGAGUUUGCUUGAGGAGAUUUUCUUUAUGUGUUUAGUCUGUUGUUCUUUAUUUAUGUCAUCUUUUACCUUCUAGUUUUGUACAGUAAUGUCAAGUCUUUUAGGUGAUGUUAGAGUUUGUCAUAGUCUAGUUAAGUUUGCCGAGUCUUUUAUUAUUGUAUUUCUUAUUUUGUAUUUGGAAAUAUGUUACAAGUUAAAAAUCCAAAAAAAAGAGAGAAAUUUUGCUUUUUAUAUUUCCGGUAAAAGUUUUCUUUAGAAUACUAAUUCUACGAAUUAAAAAAAAUUCAUUUGAGGUGGUUUUUCCUUUAGGCAAUUAAUAGCUAGAACUCAAAAUAAAAAUUGCUAUUAUAUUUCCUUUUAGUAAAUUAAGACUAAAAAUUCAAAAAAAAAAGAAUUUUCUUUUAGUACCUCUUUAAAACUUUUCUUUAAGAUUUUAGUUCCAAAAAUCCAAAAAGACUUUCUUUGGAGGUGCUUCUUUGGGAAAUUGAUGAAAAAUGAAAAAAAAAACCUUUUCUUAGUUUCAUUAGAACUUUAGAAUAUUGUACAUAGAAUAAAAAAAAUACUUUUUCUUUGGUUUAUUUUCAGAGUUUCUUCCUUAGGUAAUCAAAAAUUUAAAUCNNNNNNNNNNNNNNNNNNNNNNNNNNNNNNNNNNNNNNNNNNNNNNNNNNNNNNNNNNNNNNNNNNNNNNNNNNNNNNNNNNNNNNNNNNNNNNNNNNNNNNNNNNNNNNNNNNNNNNNNNNNNNNNNNNNNNNNNNNNNNNNNNNNNNNNNNNNNNNNNNNNNNNNNNNNNNNNNNNNNNNNNNNNNNNNNNNNNNNNNNNNNNNNNNNNNNNNCGAGAAGACAAAAAUGAGGAUAAAGUUGUGGGACGCGAGAAAUGAGAGGAAAGAAAAGAGCGAUAGUCAGUAAGGUGCAUUACACGCAAUGUGAUAUUUUUAGUUGUUAAAUGCCCUAAUGCUAACACGAUGUCCCCAUUUUGUUCCUUUUGUUAUCUUCAUUGAGCAGAAAGGUGAUUGGUUUGUGGUUCUUAAAGUGGUAACUCUUCUCUACAACAUAAGGCCGAAAGGCAAUGACAGACGGCAACGGAAUUGAGUUGGUUGGUACUAGUGCCCAAAAGCAAUUGGUUGAACAGGGCAAUGGGUUGGUUGAAAAGGUAAGGAUGUUAAGACAACACAUUGCGGACAUGUAUCAGGCUUGGGUGAUUGGGAAGGUACCACCCCCGCCACCACCUAGCUUCCUAGAUACUAGCCUUACCCGAACUCCGGUCAUAGUACCAGAUGAUCCCCCAUACUCUCCAGAUCUACCCGCUUAUCACAGCUUUCCCAACUACCCUAGUAGCUCCAUCACUCGUCCUUCAAUUACCUUUUUCCAAAAUUGCCCUCCUGUCAUAUCCAUUAUCCCCAACAAUGAAUACCCACUCAAAGCUCAUGAUGCCCAAUAUUACCCUUCAGAGGUUGCCCACAAGGUUCUUGACUCAUACAAGCAGAACCCUCAGAAUGAGCCUCAUGCUAAAAAUGAAAAGGUCACAGGAAAAGAAGGGCGAGAUGAAAUAUCCACGAAGCUGAAAGGUAUAGAACAGUCCUUAAGGAGCAUGCAAGGGAUGAGAAAUCAGAUUCAUAUGUUCCCUGAUGUUCAUCUGCCUGCUGGGUUUAAAGUGCCAAAGUUCAAUUUGUAUGAGGGGCGUGGAGAUCUGGUAGCCCAUCUGAGGGGUUAUUGCAAGGAAAUGAGAAGUGUUGGCGAGAAAGACGAUUUGUUAAUGCUGUAUUUCAGUGAGAGCUUGACUGAGGCAGCUUUGGAAUGGCAUAAUCGUCAAGAUGUCGGUAAGUGGCAUACAUUGGGCGACAUGGCUCAAGAUUUUGUUCGACACUUUCAAUACAAAUUAGACAUUACCCCAGACCGCUCCUCCCUAUCUAAGAUGGAAAAGAAACCGGAGGAAAUCUUUAGGGAGUUUGGGCUCAGAUGGAGGGAGCAAUCUGCUCGAGUCAGUCCCCCGAUUGGUGAAGAAGAAAUAGUUGAGCUCUUCCUACAAGCCCAGGGGCCCACCUACUUCAGUCAUUUGAUUCCGACCUUGGGUAACCCUUUCAAUGAUGUGGUAAAAAUGGGGGAGAUGGUAGAAGAGGGAAUCAAGUCAGGCAAAAUCAUGAGUUAUUCGGCAUUGAAAGAUACUACGAAAGACAUUCAGAACAUCCCAGUAUGUUUUGGUAGAAGAAAGAGAAAUAGAAAAGAUGAUCCGUUGGGCAUUCCUGCUCAACGCUUUCAGCCUCGACAUCGACCCCAUGGAUAUCCUUGUGCACCAAAUGAUCCUCCCCAAUGUUACUUCUCUCCACAGAACCCCCAAAGUCGUACAUCACUUUCCCAGUACCCUAUCCACAAGGCACUACCAUAUGCUCCACACCCACGAGGCCCGCGAUGGCCCGCACCACUUCCCCAAAUGUCUUACCCGCCUCCUCAAGCAUAUCAGCCACAUGCCUGAAAAAGUUCCAACCGAGGCCAGAAUACAAACUGAAAAGACUGCUGAAAAAAGAAAAGGCUUUUACCCAUAUUGGAGAAUCAUAUGCCAGUUUGUUCCAAAGGUUGAGGCAAUUGGACAUGUUGAAGUCGAUUCAGAUAAAAAUGUCAAACCCUCUGCCAAAGAAGUUUGAUUUUUCUCAAAGGUGUGCAUAUUGCUCCGAUGCCUCGGGUCACAGUAUAGAAAAGUGUUGGCACUUGAAAAAUGCAAUUCAAAAGCUUAUUGAUGCAGGUGACAUUGUCGUGCAACAUCCAAAUGCAGCAGACACUAGCCAAAGUCUAUCGCAUGUUCGUAAUGAGACGCAUAUGGUGAGUAUGAUUUAUUUUGAAAAGGAAUAUGAGAAUUCUUCUGAGAUCCCUGGAGGUCCAUGCGCUGCAAAGCUUUCAGUGCUAUCAGAGGUUGAUCUUAAGAACGAGCCGGCAAAGGGAACCCAAAAGCAAUUUGUUAAGAACAAUGUGAUGAAGACUUGUGAAGGUCCUAGUAAUGUUGAUGCAGAAUUCAGUGGCUAAGAUGUUGAGCUUGGUGAUUGGAAAGAUGCUCCUUUCUUGGUUAGCUUAGGAGGAGUAUUGGUGGUUUAUUUUAUUGUCAUUUCUGUUGUCCGGUUUAUUUCAGGGUUGUAAUCCGGAUAUUGUCUUGUGGCUCAAACCCUUCUAUCCUUUUAUUUUGCCUGGUUUGUUUAGUCAUACUAACUCGUUUAGUGCUGUCUAGGUUUGUUUCAGGGUUGCCCAGUUUAGUGCUUGUUUUAUUGUUCAAACCCCUUCACUGUUUGUCUAAUACAAUUUUCUAUUUUCUGUUAUUUCUAGUCAUUUCUGUUUAGUUCUCUUCUCCUUUUAUAGUUCUCUUCAUGCCGGUUCUGGUGACAUGACAUGCACGCAUAAUUCUAGGCCUGGUCUUAAAGGUUAGUUUAAUUCUGAAGCAAUAAAACAAUUGUGAAGAUGAUAGGGACAUUUGAGGGAAAUAAGUAAAGGCAUUUCGAGAUCAUUUGAAGCCCGAACCAUGUGAAACUGGGGCAGAUAAUUUGGGAAGUUAAUAGGGUGACAAGAAUUCGUUAAAGGAGAGUGUAUCCCGGACAAUUUGAAGCAAGCAACUUUAAGUUCAAAUGCAUCUCAAGUUACAAAAUAAAGUCAAGGAAGUUUUCUCUAAAUUGAUGGAGGAUAUCCAUUAUGAAAAGGUAAUCACCCAAUGAGGGUUUUGUACUUGACAAGGCGCUAAAGAAGAGUGGAAGGCAUAUCAGUAAUAUCAGUGUCGAAACCGCAAAAGAAAUAUUGUGCAUGAUCUUCAAUUUUCAUUUCAAGUUGCAUGUGUUGUACUUGCAAUUUUCAAGAAUUGAGAGGCCCUCUUUCAGCUACCCAAAUACUUAUAUCAUUUGAUACCCUUUUGAGCCUGUACUAACUUCUUUGACUUCCCCUUUUUUGGAAUCGAGUUAGAGUCAUACGAAGAAAAAAAAGAUGGAAGAAUUCAUGUCCCCAUAGGUUUAUUUUACAAAGUUCAUUCCAAAAGGCAAAUUCAAAAAAAGGAGAUAAAGAAGAAAAAAAGGAAAAAGAAAGAAAAGAAAAAAGAAAAGAAAAGGAAAAGAAAAAUAACAACAACAAAACGUAUCUUUAUAAACUACGUUUGACCUGAUUCUUGUCACCACAAGAUACAUAGGCAGCCUUACGGUUCGAUCGCACCAAAUGAAAUAUUUCAUAAUCCCACGAAGUCGAGAGUGAGGUAGUCUUUCUUAUAAAUUCCACUUCAAAAAAAAACAAAGAAAAAGAGAAUCGAAUUCCAUUAUUUUAGAAAUUGGGGCAAAGUUUUUAGAAUGGAUUCCAAAAAUUAUAAAUAAAUUAACCCCGUUGUCAUAGUUAUUUUUGAGCCUUUAUGAUAUCCUUUCUUUCUAAUCCUAUCCAAACGCCACAUUACAGUCCAAAAAAAGACCUCCCAGAUAAUCUUUGAGAAUGCUGAGUUAGCCAUGCCAGGAGCAUAUGAUGUUUUUACUAUGGUCAAUGCCUUGUCAUCUACAGAAAAAAGAGAGAAAAAAAAAGAAAAAUGAGAGAGACUUAUCCGUGAAAAUUUUCACAGGCACCAUAAGGCGACGGUGAGUCGAGAGAAAUAAUAAAAUAAGAGAGAAUUGAUAGUGAAAAUCCUUCGGGCACUACAAGUCGAAUAAGGAUCGGGAAUCGGAUUGGAUAAUUGGAGCAUUGAAGCCUAGUUUCACAGCUUAGGGGGUAUAACAAGAGUUGAACAUCAAUCUUACUUGACAGAUUAGGCCACUUAAGCCAAAGGUGCAUGUCAUGGUCGUUAGAGUUGGUAUCCAUAUCUGAUAGGUUUCUACUUGUAGUUUCUUGUUAUUAAUCAUCCCUUUCCAUUGUCCUUUACUCUAGUCCUUUUGUCUUGUUUACUUCAUCUUCCUGAGUCUGUUUGGUCAGAACAAGUGAGAAAUGACUACAAAAUUUGCCACAAUGCUUUCCAAUUGCACAAAAUGGGAUCUGGCUAGCACAUCAAAGUAUCAUAAGUUAGGAAAGAACAGCAAGCACGCUGAGUUGAUAACAAUCAACGUGCUUUGAGAUUCAUGUAAAAUACAAAGGAUCGGUAUAUGUCAAUUCAUGAACAAUGCAACAGAUAGAGUGUUGGUUUGGAACAGAUCAAAGGUAUUUUCUGUGAUAAGAUUGAUAAAGAAAGUGGUUAACCAGUGACAAGUAAGGUCUUCCAAGUGGAAAUCAAAGUUAUCAUGGCAAGUGAAGGAGCAAUAGACCUCAAGGCCAAGUGUUUUAAGUCAGGAAAGAACAACAUGCGCACUGAGUGGAUGGCAAUUGAUGUGCUUGGGAUUCAUGUGAAACACAAAGGUUCAGUACAUGUCAAUGCAAGAGCAUAAUGCAACAAAUGAAUGGUAUUGGGUUUGAACGGAUCAGAGGUAUUUUUCGUGAUAAGGGUGACAGAGAAAGUAGUUAGUUAAUAAACAAGCAAGGUCUUUCGAGUGGAAAUCAAAGUUAUCAUGGGAAGUGAAGGAGCAAUCGCCCUCAAAGUCAAGGCCAUAAACAAACCACCAUAUUUAUAAACUCACAAGUUCUCUUUGUUUGAAACAGGGACGAAAAUUGUGUCCAAAUCAAAGCUUGGAAGUUUGAAUUUUUUCAAGUGUCGUGCCUAAAUUUUGUCAGCACAAAGGCGGUUUGAGAAGGGGAAAGAAAAAUUUGUUCGAUAUACAAGAACCCUCCAUGAGGAAAAGCGUGGUUCAGGGGAAAGGAAUUUUGUUCAGUCUAUAGAGAUCCUCCAGGAAGAGAGUACGACUCAGGUAAGUUCAUUCUCGGCUUUUCAUGACCCUCAUGGAUAAUGGGACUUAAUUUAAAAUUUUAAGGACCCUCCUAGAUAAUGAGACUUAAUUUAAAAUUUUCAGGACCCUCCUGGAUAAUGGGAUUUAAUUUAAAGUUCUCAGGACCCGGAUAAUGGGAUUUAGUUUUAAGUUUUUAAGACCUUCAUAGACAAUAAGAUUUAGCGUAAGUUUUACCUUUAGGAAAUAGAAUUUAGCUUUGAAGUUGUCACUCUUGAGAUGAGAUUUAAUUUUUAAUUUUUAGGACCCUCCUGGAUAAUGGGAUUUAGCUUUUAAAUUCUUAGAGCUUUUGGGUACUAUGAUCCGAUUAACACUCACAGAUGUUCCUGAUAUCAAACUGAGGCAGAAAAAUUUCUUUUAUUUGUUUGUUUUGUUGUAGUCAGGUUCACAAGCAGCAGUUUCAGAGGGGUCAGUUUAAGUGUUGGAAAUCAGAAGAACAAAGGGAAGCAGUCCAAGUUUCAAGGGAAGCAAUUCAAGUUUCAAUGAAAAGCAAUGCAAGUGUUUAGUAAUCAGGAGCCCACCUAAAGAACAAAGGAAGGCAGUUCAAGUUUCGAGGAAAAGCAGCGCAAGUGUUGGUAAUCAGGAGCCCACCUGGAGAACGAAGGGGAAGCAGCAAUGACCAAAGGAAGAUAGCAAUCAGGAGCCCACCUGAAGAACGAAGGGAAGUAGCAAUGUUCAAAGGAAGAUAGCAAUCAAGAGCCUGCCUGGAGAACAAAGGGAAGUAGAAAGGUUCAAAGGAAAUUCGGCAAUCAGGAGCCUACCUGAAGAAUAAAGGGAGAACAAGGCAAGUUUCGGAGUAAAGAAAGAUAAUUCAAAUGCUUGAAAUUAGGAACCCACCCGGAGAACAAAGGGAAGGAAACAAUGGUCAAAGGAAGACGGUUCAAGUUCAGCAAUCAGGCGCCUACCUGGAGAAUAAGAGAAUUCACUUCAGAAUACAAUUCAAGUUAGCAACAAAAGAAUCUCACGGCAAGAAUGCGAGUCAACAAUCUGAGGUGAUCAACAGAAGUUAAUCACAAUAAAGAAAAAAGAGAAAGGCAAGAAGUGAAUCCGGACGCAGAAGUUGAUGAAAAUGUGAGUUGCUCAAGAUAUGGUUGAAGUCACAAGCAUGGUAUGUCUGGUCUUGAUCCGAAAAGCUGAAGAAGGAUGAGCUAGCACCUGCAACUAGCAAGCAUUAAGGUUCAAAUCUAAAGUCCGCAUGAAGAACCACUAAAAACUCAAGAUCAAGCUUCAAAAGACUUAUAGAUAGGAAUCUUGUAACUCGUAGUUGAUAGGCUUAGCUAGUCUUUUUCAUGUUUUGAUUUUUGAUGUAAUAACAGGACCACAGACUAGAACCUCGGCGGAAUGGCACCUCGACCGGCUCUCCACCUCGGUAUACUCCAUCAUUUCACUCACCUCUGAACUACACGUGGCCUGAUUCCUUUAUAGCCAAGGAUAUGUAGGCAGCUCAGAUAGCAGGGCUCGGUCACAUUCCCCUUUUCUCUUAGUUUUGGUCUCCUUAAAUAAGGGUCGGGUCAAAAAACCUGUCUAGUUGUUCUUUGUUCGAAAACUCUUCGCGUUUCCAGUCAAAGAGGGGCAGCUGUAGACAUGUGAUUUUUGACCCUCCCCAAGAUUUUUUAUAUUUUAGCAUGUAAAUAUUUAAUUUAGGCCUAAUAUAGAUAUUUCAACUAAUUCUUACUCUUUUACUUUAUUUUAUUACAAGAAAAUGAAAAUUUCAAAAAUAGUUUCAUUAAUAUUUUGUAGUCAUUUUUAAUCUUGAAAAAUACCAAAAAUAGUUUUGUUUUAACAGUCAGUCUUAUUUUAAUAGUUAUUUUACUUAAGUAGGAUUAAUUAAUAAAUGAGAUCGUAUUUUUAGUCUCGUUCGCGGGGAAAGAAUAAACUUGGGCUCGAGCUACCCAUUUUUUAGGCCUAAUUUUGGACCUAACCCAUAAUUCUCAAGCCCAUAAUUCCUAGGCCCAUACCCCUAACCUAAAAAACCCUAUAAAACAAUUAGACCCUAGACCUAAGGGCGGGGGGACCCAAAAAAAUGGCAUAUCCCAUUUCCAAAAGAGCUACAACCUAGCGCGUCUCCCUUCUGAAUUGGGAAGUUUUCACCAGCAGCCAUGUAAAUAUAGCUUUCACCUCUCUUUGUCAAUUGAACGGCAAGAUAAAAGAAAAAUAGAUCGGCUUCUCCUUUCCCAUUUUUUGAUUCCAAAGCAAGGACACUUGCUCUCUGUUCUUCGCUUUCUUUUGCUGAAGGCCGAUUCAAUUUUCCAUCCGAGGUUCGCGGUUUUGAUUUAGCUCACAGUUUCUGCUCGAUAUUGUUGUUGUUUUCAGUUGGAAUUUUGGAGUAAAACAUUGUAUUCCUCUACUAUUAUUAAAAGAAUUUCGAAUUAAUAGGUUCAUCUCUACUCCUAUGGUCUUUAUUUUGAUCUUAUUUAUGUGAGUAAAGCCUAGAUGAGCCAAUAAAGAGCAAAAUAAUUAGUGAUAAUUGGGGGUUCGUCUCUUACUCCGUUCAUGAUUUCUCAUUGUCCGUAUGUAUGAAUUUUGUUGAGUUAUUCUUUGAGCUGAUCUUUACUAAUUUUACAUAGCCUUCUGUUGAGCGUAGUUUCAAAAGGACAUUUAAGUGGACAUGUCUAAACUUUGUGCUUAUUCCAAUUAUUU
rnacentral:lncRNA from 1 species